UUCCCUAGUGGCCCAGAGGGUUUAGGAGUCAGUGUUGUCACUGCUGUGGCUCAGGUGUGUGUGACCCCUGGCUCUGGAACUUCUGCACGCUGUUGGUAUAAAUAAAUAAGGGAUCAUUCUCAAAACAACUUCAUGUCACUGAUCAUAAAGUUGAUCUUAAAACUAAAACAACUGGUUAUUUUACCAGCAAAAUGGGUUUGUUUGGAACACAGGUGAGAACAACAGGCAAGUCAGAAAAACAAAGCAGAGGAAAUUCUUUUAAAGAGGGAGUGGGAAGGAGCUGUUGUAAAUUCAGAGCCCACAGGAGGAAAGUGGGAGUUGAGAUUGUGGUGGCUUUUCAUUGGCUGAGCUGUGAGGGCCUCUCAUUGGCUAAGCUGGGAUGGUCUCUCAUUGGCUGGGCUGUUCCUGGGCGGAGAGAAACGCUUCCGCCUCCUGCUGGGUGAUGAGCCACCUUGUUCUCAGAGAUGCAGAGAAAAACCCGAGGUCAGGGACAGCCAGGGGAGGAAGACACAGGGAGAAGAUGGCUACUUACAGACCAAGGAUGGGACCAGCCCUGCCGACUCCUUGACCUUGGAUUUCUGGCCUCCAGAACUGCAGAGGAAUAAAUUUCUGUUGUUUCAGCCACCGCCCCACCCACCCACAUUUGUGUCAUUUGUGACUGGAGCCCGUGGAAACUACACAGAUUUAUCCAUGAGAAAUGAAAAUGUAUGACCACACAGAAGCCUGUAUACACAUGUUCACAACAGCUGAAAAGUCAUGUCCAUCAACAUAUGAAGGAUGAAUCAAAUGUGAUCCAUCCACACGCUGGAAUAUCAUACCACUGUGGACAGGAGAGAAGUAGAGUUCCCACUGUGGCUCAGCACUUUAAGAACCCAUCUAGUAUCCAUGAGGAUGCAGGUUCAAUCCCUAGCCUUGCUCAGUGGGUUAAAGGAUCUGGUGUUGCGGCAAGCUACAGAUGUGGCUCGGAUCCUGCGUUGCUGUUGCUGUGGCGUAGGCUGGUAGUUGUGGCUCCAAUUCAACCCCUACUCUGGGAACUUCAUAUGGCACAAGUGCAGCCAUAAAAAGGAAAAAAAAAAAAAGAGAGAGAAGCACUGACACUCAGUACCACGUGGACAGACCUGGAGACCACGAUGCUCAGUGAGAGAGAAACAGAUACAGAAGGACACACUGUGUGAGAUGCCAUGGAUGGGAAACGUCCAGAACAGGCACAUCCACAGACAGGAGGUUUGUGGUCAUCAGAGGUUGGGGAGUGGGUGGGGAUGACUGCUGAUGGGGAAUGGGCUUCCCUUUGGGGUGGUGGAAUGUCCCACAGUUGCUUUUGGUAAUGGGAGCACACCUUGUGAAUGUACUAAAAUGAAACUCUGAAUUGUUCAGUGUA